CACGCAGGCGGUCUGUUCAGUCACGAGUGACAGGUGUCGGCUUAACUGACGCAGGCCUCGUGAGACGGGCAGACUUGAGAACUUGAGAGGGAGACGGAAUUCCGGGUGGAGCGGUGAAAUGCGUAGAGAUCCGGAGGAACACCGAAGGCGAAGGCAGUCUCCUGGCAAGUGUCUGACGCUCAGGUGCGAAAGCUCGGGGAGCGAACAGGAUUAGAUACCCUGGUAGUCCGAGCCGUAAACGAUGACCACUAGGCGUGGGAGGUAUCGACCCCUUCCGUGCCGGCGCUUACGCAAGAAGUGGUCCGCCUGGGGAGUACGGUCGCAAGAUUAAA
rnacentral:rRNA from 1 species